ACAAGGUUGAUUAACCUGAGGUAAAAUCUGGGCAGUGAAUAGCGAUUCCCUAAGUUCGAGAAGAUUAGAAAACUAGACACUUAAAUAGGUCGAGAGACAUUUGGGCAUAUCAUCAAUAAAGCUAGCUUGUUAUCCUAACCACCGUGAGAAUCUUGAGUCACCUUUAGCAUCUGUCAUGUACCGUAAGCCCUAAUGAACAUAAUUCUGGUUAUUUCAUAAAAU
rnacentral:lncRNA from 1 species